rnacentral:lncRNA from 1 species
GUUCAAUCCCCAGAACCAUACACACAAAAAGUGGUUGAGUCCUUUUUAGGCUGAGAAAGUCAAGUAUGUCUUCUCUUCAUACGGAAAGAUGACUCGACUGAUCCAUCUAGGAUGUUUGAUCCAUCGCAUAUGUUUGGGGAUUUUGAGGCAGUCGUUGUUUUGAAACAUUCCCUCACUUGCCCAUUUAUUUUCUCUGUGGACCCAGGAGAGCUCAGCCCAGGGAUGUCUUAUCUCCAGCCAAAGCUGGAAACAGCAGAUUAUGUAGCUUGGGGCUAACACAGCCACUGCUGUUUCAUUUCCUGGACUUAAAGAGCCAAGAAUGUUUGCAUAUCUUGCAUAUCCCACAUGUCCCACAUACCCCUUCCCUGUGGCUUCCCUCCUGCCCCUCCAAAGCCUGCUGAUAGUCUACCGUGAGUCCCUAUCUCUCCCUCUGUGCCUUCCUCUGUGGUGGGGGUGAUAUUUCUGUGGUCAGAGUUCUUGGAAAGCUUGCAUGUUGGAGGCUAUGGAAAAUAGGCUGAAGGUGGAUCAGUCAUUCCUUCGUUCAACCAACUCCUAUCAAAUGCAAGCAUGUAGGACUUACAGUAUUGGAGAUCCCUUAGGCACAAACCCCAUAGCUGCUUGACAUCGAAUUAGUGUUGUAUCACUGCCACCUGUGAGAAAUAAUGUAGGGGCACUUGGGCUGAAAGGUAAAAGAAAGCUAUCAUUGAAGCUGCUCCUUUUGCCAGGUAUGGUUGCACACACCUGUCAUCCCAGCACUUGGGAAGCUGAGGCAGGAGGAUUGCUGAGGGUUCAAGGCCAGCCAGCCUGUGCUACAUAGUUCAAGGCCAGCUGGACUACAUAGCAAGGCCCUGUCUUAAAAAAAAAAAAAAAAAAAAAAGGAAAUGCCUAGUACAGUCAUUCACCAGCCACAAUGUUUAAUUUUGGGGGGGGAAGUGGUACUGGGGAUCGAACUUGGGGCCUUGCACUUGUGAGGCAGGCGACGGCAGAACCACUGAGCUAAAUCCCUGGCCCCAUGAUGUUUUAUACUAGUUUCCUGCUUCCAGUUGUAAGAAUGCAAUGUUCACUUUCAUCCCUAAUGCCCACUGCCCAGUGAAUUUCAUACUCUUAUGUAUAUAGAAGAACUACUGAGAAGACCCUGGAAUAAACAACACACACACAAUUAAUAAAUACUCAGAUAAAUGCUAUCUGAUAAGAGAUGACUGGCUGAGCAUUUGUUGAGCAUCUGCUAUGGGCAGGUACUAUGUUAGGUUUCUAGGAGGCCCUACAACACAUGCCACUCCUCUUGCUCCACUGUCAGAACUCAUCGCCUACUGCCUACCACUCUGCCCCAGCUACAUCAGUCUCCCUGUCCCUCAGACCCGCCAGGUAUGCUCCCAACAAAGGGCCUUCGUGGAGCUGUUCCCUUAGCCUGGCACUUUCUUCCCC